UAGGUGAGGAUAAUAAAAUGGACUUUUUCCUAUAUAACUAACAAAACCAUGACCUUAAUUAUUUGUACUUACAAAAUCCAAAUAAACACUCACUAGUCACUACACGCACGGAGUACAUUGACACAUGUAGUGACUAAAAAUGGGGUGGAAUCCCAGAACAAUUAUUGGACCUACUUUUUACAAACAGGUCUUUUACAUGGGAACAUUUUGGAUUUUUUUUCCCUAACACGUAUGCAUACGUAUUACGAGGAUUAAUGCUUGGGCUAACAAAUUUCCAAUUAGUAAUGGUAAAAUUGGUUAAAUUACAAUGUCAAAUUUUUAUCUAAAUCUUUAGGAUCCUUCUUGCAUUUUUAUACCUAGUAAGCCUACAUAUGCACGUCCUUAAAGGCUUAUCCUAGGCUCCUAGCCUCCACCAGGGUGGAUCCAACUCCAAAAAUUAGAGGGGUUAAUCUUCCCCUUCUUCUUCCUUCUCUCUUUUCCUUCUUUUUCUUCCUUCUUUUCUUCUACC
rnacentral:lncRNA from 1 species